CUUCUUCACAAAGCUUCAAUUUCCAUGGCAAAUUCCUUCACAUCUCUCAAUUUUAUUCGGGUUUAAGGUGAAAUUUGGGGAAAAGAUCCAAAAUCCAUCUUAUGGUGUUAGAAUGCUCUCAAAGAGGAAAUAGUUGAUGAAAGAUGCAGUGGCAAGUGCACUAGGAUGAGUUGCAGUUGGCUUUGGGAACUUAGUGAUUAAAUUUUUGUAUUCAGGACUUGUUUUAAGAUCCUAUUGAUUAAGACUUAUAUUUGAGAAUUUAUGAGUUAUGUUUUGUGGUUUAGCCUUAGCACUUAGGUUGAUUAGUUGCCUAAGUGUGGCGGUAAUACCCUCAAUAAAGUUUGUAAGCUUCCGCAUUUUGAAUUAUGUUUUAAGAAUUACUUAAUUAAUUGGUGAAAAUAAGAAAAAAAAAAUAGGCCGUU